CAGAAUUCCGGUUCAAUAUCAAGAUGAAUCGGGAAGGAAUCAGAGAUGGUUAAUUUGUUUUAAUUUUAAUUCCAAUCAGGUUUUAUUUUUAUAUUGCAAAUCUUGUUUUACAUUUUUUUAUCAGUGCGUGAAGAGUGCAGCGCCUGGAUCAAUCACAAUGAAUCAGUUUCCACACAAGCAUCAUAUGAUCCACGAGUCACUAACCAUGAAAGAGCCUCACGAACUGAAAGAACUUCAGCCAGAGUAACAUCCAUUACUCUACAGCAAGACUGCUGCAAAACCUCAAAGAAAACACUAGGGUGACCUCGUAAGAUGCAUCCAAAUCCAGAACCACACCGCGUCCCGUCAACAAUAAAUUUUUCUCUAACGGGAGCGGACUGCGCAGUAGUACCAGACUAACCGUUUUGCUAGCUACGUAGAAACUGCAUUUGGAAAUUGUCCUUGGUUUCUAAUGAGCUGCUGAGUAGAAAUUUACAGAUAACAGAAAAUUUUAGACCUUAUAAUAGCUUUGUUUUUGGUGAUUGAUGCUUUCCAUGUCCAAGCACUUUGGGGGUUAAUGAGCUUGAAGCAAACGAAAGCAGCAACAAAAAAUAGUAUAAAUAUAAAAGCACUUUGCCAGUCAAAUAGUAGCCGUUAGGAACAACAGAGACUCGGGACAUGCCAUAUUAAGCCAAGGUGCAUCAAUCAAUUGCAAAUACUAUUUGAUGCUGAUAUAAACUAAACUUCGUAUAAUUUUCAAAUGAAUUCCACCUGAGUAUAUCAUUAAGGGAGAAAUGGGUUGUGUGAAGGAUAAGUCUCUUUUUGCCUUUUGUAUGCCCUGGUGGCAUUUAAUCCCCCUAGUCCAACUGUUCCCAAAAUGAUGAAAAGGAAAGGGAUCCGGAUUAAUACGUGAUUACUUCUUCCCCCAUGUGCUUUUGGCAUGCCAGUCCUCACAACUCGAGCAUAAGUGGCUGAAGCAGAAUCUGUUCCUCUCACACCUGUGAUAACCAUUAUAAAGUCAAUUGAAUUUCAUUGGUUCUAUAAUUGUAUAGCUUAUCACCCAAUUCAAUCUUCUGAACAAGGUGCUUAGAGCUUGGAUCAUGGUUUGCAAACUCAAAUCCAAAUGGACAUUUCCAAUUAGACAACUUGCAACUUGAUAAGCCUAUGUAUAAACAAGCAAGCAAGCAGAGUGCAUUCCUGGGGCUCUCAAGGUAAAUGGAAUGGCACUCUCAAUGAUUAGACAAAUUAUUCAAGUCUUACGCCUACAUUCUACCCAUGUGAUCCUUGUAUAUAAAAACUAAAUUACUAUAUCUGUUCCAAAAUAAGCGACAAAUAUGCACUUGAGCUUGACAAAUGAAAAUAAGGAAAAAAUGUCACCUCACCACUUACAUUGGCUUCUCUUUUUGACUUUGAAACAUUAAGGAGGCAAAUAAAAUGCUAUAGCAUUAGGCCUGACCUCAAUUAUCACACCAUAGAACAACAAAACACAGAAGACCACUACCUGCAUAGAUGCAGAAAUUGUUUUUCCAUUGUCAACUUCCAGCAGCACGAUACAUUCGUUUAGACCAUGAAUAACCUCAGGAUUCAUUAUGAAAGCUCGAUGAUAACAGAAAGUUGGAUUUAGAAAGUAAGCAGCCACAUAGAGAGGACGGGGGAACAAUAAGUUCCAGUGGAUGUAUGAUACAUAUCCUGUUGACCGAAGUGAGGGCAUCCCUUGAAUAAUUUGGCAAUUAGCAGUAAUAAUUUUAUAGCCUUUAUUUUUUUGACACGCUGGAAGUCCUUCGCGGCUUCGUCAAGUGCAACUUUCCUGUUGCAUGACCCCCCACAUCUUGCUUGAUUUAUGUAUUGUCCUCAAAACCAUUGGAGGCCUCUCUUAAGCAAACCAGAGCAAAUUAUCAAAACUACAGUAACAGGCAUAUUGGCACUCAAAAAGAUAAAUAAUGAUUAAAAAAACCAAAAAAUAAAAUAAAAUAAAAUAUUUAACCCUUCCCAAACAAAAGCUAAUGUUUGAACAAUCAUAUCUUUCUAAGACAAGAAACAUUCAGCAUACACGCAGGCGCAUAUGUAACAUAAUACAGGACAUAAACUUUAACAGGAUUACAACCAUAAAACAUCAUCCUACAAAUUUUCGAAUACUAAUUCCUCCCAAUCAUGGUUCAAGGGAGAUUUUCAUAACACAGUAUUAGUGGAAGUACAUAAGCUGCUGGGUUGUCGCAACAUUUUGGAACACGCCAUCAUAUAUUGCCUGACUAGUUCCAACAGCACCCAUUCCCAUGACUGCCUGCUUAAGGGCAUGCUGACCUUGUGGAUGCAUAAGGGCUUGUGCACCAGCCAUUUUGCUCAAUGCCAUCUGCCGUUCAUAAGCUGCAAGGUCAGCAGCUGAAAGACCUGGCAUAUGUGCAACAGCUGGUGGCGGAAGAGGGGUAGAGCUUAUUCCUGGUGGAGUGGGUUUGCUACCCCAAGAGCACUGCAACAUAAAAAAAAAUUGAGCAAUUGUGCCGUCUAUUUAGAGAACACGCUCAAAACAUUUAAAUUCAAGCAAAAGAGUGAACUUUCAUGCAUCAACAUUGCCAUACGAAGUAAAAUAAAAAAUUGCUACAUCACCAUACGAUCAACGCAUAACCAUACUUUCGUCAAAAUAUAUCAAUUAUUAUUUUAUCUAAAAAAAGAGAAAAAAAUCCAAAUAAACCGAAUACCUAGUCUCACCAUUAUACACAACUCGAGCACCAUACGUAAUCAGACAGAACACUAUUUAACUUAAUUUCUUCUUAAUUAUUAAAUCAAUAUCUGCUUAAUUAUUAAAACUAUUUUUAGACUAACAUGAUGAACAAGUAAGACUACAACAUAGAAAAAGACAAAGACUUCCUAUAUGAAUAAUAAAAACCCAUAUCUACCUUAAGAAAAAACGAUUACCUUAAUAGGUUUGCCAUAAAGAAUACGAGCAUUUCCCAUCUGAAUAGCAAGAGCUGCCUCAGCAUGAGUACCAUACCUCACAAAACCAAAUCCUUUAUCCUGCUGGACUCUGACCUCCUCAAUAACUCCAGCACCAAAAGCAUGGAAGUGGCGGUGGAGAUCAAGCUGGGUA
rnacentral:misc_RNA from 1 species